rnacentral:sRNA from 1 species
GACAUAAGGGUCAAAAGUACCAAAUCGACUUCGGGCUUGCCCGAAAGGCGAUUUGUACUUGGGAGCCGCCAAACAUCCGAAAGUAGCGCAAAGCGAAGCGGUGCGCGAAUUUCGGAUGUUUGCAGAAUUGCGGAAGCAGCGAAGCUGCGAAGCAAUUCGUAU